UCUUCCCUCUGGCGGCGUGCCUAAUACAUGCAAGUCGAGCGAACAGACGAGGAGCUUGCUCCUCUGACGUUAGCGGCGGACGGGUGAGUAACACGUGGAUAACCUACCUAUAAGACUGGGAUAACUUCGGGAAACCGGAGCUAAUACCGGAUAAUAUAUUGAACCGCAUGGUUCAAUAGUGAAAGACGGUUUUGCUGUCACUUAUAGAUGGAUCCGCGCCGCAUUAGCUAGUUGGUAAGGUAACGGCUUACCAAGGCAACGAUGCGUAGCCGACCUGAGAGGGUGAUCGGCCACACUGGUACUGAGACACGGUCCAGACUCCUACGGGAGGCAGCAGUAGGGAAUCUUCCGCAAUGGGCGAAAGCCUGACGGAGCAACGCCGCGUGAGUGAUGAAGGUCUUCGGAUCGUAAAACUCUGUUAUUAGGGAAGAACAAAUGUGUAAGUAACUAUGCACGUCUUGACGGUACCUAAUCAGAAAGCCACGGCUAACUACGUG
rnacentral:rRNA from 1 species